rnacentral:rRNA from 1 species
GGUGCUGACACAUGCAGUCGAGCGUGAAAGGUCUUCGGACUAGUAAAGCGGCGAACGGGUGAGUAACGCGUGAGAAUCUACCUUUCAGUGAGGAAUACCUUCGAGAAAUUGAAGUAAUACUGCAUACGUCCUACGGGAGAAAGAUGGCUCUUUGCUGUCGGUGAAAGAUGAGCUUGCGUACGAUUAGCUAGUUGGUAGGGUAACGGCCUACAAGGCAACGAUCCGUAGCCGGCCUGAGAGGGCGGUCGGCCACACUGACACUGAAAUACGGGUCAGACUCCUACGGGAGGCAGCAGUCGGGAAUUUUGGGCAAUGGGCGCAAGCCUGACCCAGCAACGCCGCGUGAAGGAUGAAAUCCCUCGGGAUGUAAACUUCGCAAGAACGGGAAGAAUAAGUAGGGGAUAAUACCCUCUAUGAUGACGGUACCGUUUGUAAGCUCCGGCUAACUCCGUGCCAGCAGCCGCGGUAAUACGGGGGGAGCAAGCGUUGUUCGGAUUUACUGGGCGUAAAGGGCGCGUAGGCGGUCAGUGCAAGUCAGUUGUGAAAUCUCCGAGCUUAAUCGGAAAGGUCAACUGAUAUUGUCGAUAGAGUGCGGAAGGGGCAAUGGA